AGCAAUGCUGAGUGCUGAUUACAGCGCUCGGCAGGCUCCUGUGCGAAAAAUGAAGCGAAGUAGGCUUGCUCAGCCAUGACGCUGGCUCAGGAAAUGUUUGUGCAAGUCAGUGACUGAGGUUGUUUUAUCACUGAGGCUAUCAGAUUGUUUCCUCAUGGAGGGCAUUAUGCAGGUGGUGGAAGGGAGAAACGAGAAGCAUAAAGGUGGAAAGUAAGUUCUAUAUUUUGAUCUCUUCAAUUUAAAGGCAAUUCCUUUCAAGUUGUAGUAGAGAAAGACUGGUUUGUGUAUCUGUGUACUGAAAGUCCCAGGGGCAGGCUGAACAAUGGUCCCCCAAAGAGAUCCAAGUUCGAAUCCCAGGCACCUGUGACCGUGCUGCCUUACAUGGCAAAGGUCCUCUUCCCCCGCUGUCCCCAUUCCUCCUCUUCCCUUGCCUCCCUCCUCCUCUUUCCCCUCCCCCCUCCCUCCACCCCUUCCCUCUUCCUCUUUGCUCUCCUCCUCCUUCUUUGCUUGUAGCCAGCAUUCAUCCAUUGGACAUCCUGGCAUUUGCUGAGGGCUGGCGGGAUGAGCAGCGGCAGUUAUCAAAAGGAGCCUGCUCUGUAUCCUUCACUUCAGCUGCUGAAGCACACGCUCUGUUUCAUGAUGAGGAGAGACAGCCAACACGCGGCUCACUGACCUCUGUGGUUGAACCUGUUCCAACUUAGAGAUGUAAGAGCCCCUCUUCAAGUGUAAAGAAACCCCAUUUGCCCCCGUGACUGAAAUUUUAAGUACCUCUCAGGUCUGGUUUCAAGUCUGGCAAUAAAACAAAAAUCUUUCUCA
rnacentral:lncRNA from 1 species